rnacentral:rRNA from 1 species
GAAGGUCACGGCGAGACGAGCCGUUUAUCAUUAUGAUAGGUGUCAAGUAGAAGUGCAGUGAUGUAUGUAGCUGAGACAUCCUAAUAGACCGGUAGACUUGAAC